rnacentral:rRNA from 1 species
UACAGAGGGUGCGAGCGUUAAUCGGAAUUACUGGGCGUAAAGCGCGCGUAGGCGGCUUUGCAAGUCGGGGGGGAAAUCCCCAGGCUCAACCUGGGAACUGCAUUCGAGACUGCAUUGCUAGAGUAUGGGAGAGGGAAGUGGAAUUUCCGGUGUAGCGGUGAAAUGCGUAGAUAUCGGAAGGAACAUCAGUGGCGAAAGCGACUUCCUGGACCAAUACUGACGCUCAUGUGCGAAAGCGUGGGGAGCAAACAGG